GCAAAUACGUAGUUAUCAUAUACUGUCUGUUGACAUGAACUUUAUAGUAUAUUGCAACUACUCAUGUUGCAGGUCCGAAGAAGAUAUUCAUCGGAGGCACAUGUCCCGACGAGGUUCCCCCAUCAUACGUUCAUGAACAUUUUUCUGAGAUAGCCUGUCCUCACAAUGAUAUUCAAAAAUUAGCAUCAAUGAGUGCCUCACAAAAAGAUGAAAUCAGGGUGCUUUCAAUCAGUAAAGAAACAGUUUUGCGAAAUUCUCACCUGUCAAGUCUACAAAAAAUGAUAUCAUGGGAGGCAGACAUGCCUGUGUACAAUGUAAUGGCAGCAACCUCUCAGACACCUACAGUGCUGACCAUCUCACGAUGCCAACUAACCGCGCGAAUGACUAUAGAAGAAAGCAAGUUUUUUUUUUCUAAAGUGCUGUGCUCACGGGAGGAUGCCGAGGAGAUUGCUGCAGGUACAGUCCUGCAGGCUGGCUGCAAAAGGUGGCACAAUGAACGCGCGAUCCGGCUGUCAAGUUCAAUCGCCCAUGCAGUUGUCGCCAGACGGCUACCAUUGGACUCUCUUGGCGAACAAAUUAAACGCAGGAAGCCCUUCUUUGGGAAGGCCGUUAUGCACGGGCGAAAGACGGAAGCUGUAGCCAGGGAACAGUUCGAGCAGAAAAUAGGAGGGCCUGUUUUGCAGGUAUGUGGUGAGCUGCAUGAAGGUCUGAAAUGGUGGAAAAAUUUGCAUGAAAGUUGCAAUGACCACAGCAGAUUUUCAGUUGGGUACAUAUUUAUGCUGCAACACUCCGAAGUGCUAUAUCACAAAGGAGCUUUUCUUCUGCUUGAAAGUCGGCAACUGCAUGAAAGCUAAACUCAU
rnacentral:lncRNA from 1 species